rnacentral:rRNA from 2 species
UAAUACAUGCAAGUCGUACGCACUGGCCCAACUGAUUGAUGGUGCUUGCACCUGAUUGACGAUGGAUCACCAGUGAGUGGCGGACGGGUGAGUAACACGUAGGUAACCUGCCCCGGAGCGGGGGAUAACAUUUGGAAACAGAUGCUAAUACCGCAUAACAACAAAAGCCACAUGGCUUUUGUUUGAAAGAUGGCUUUGGCUAUCACUCUGGGAUGGACCUGCGGUGCAUUAGCUAGUUGGUAAGGUAACGGCUUACCAAGGCGAUGAUGCAUAGCCGAGUUGAGAGACUGAUCGGCCACAAUGGAACUGAGACACGGUCCAUACUCCUACGGGAGGCAGCAGUAGGGAAUCUUCCACAAUGGGCGCAAGCCUGAUGGAGCAACACCGCGUGAGUGAAGAAGGGUUUCGGCUCGUAAAGCUCUGUUGUUGGAGAAGAACGUGCGUGAGAGUAACUGUUCACGCAGUGACGGUAUCCAACCAGAAAGUCACGGCUAACUACGUGCCAGCAGCCGGGGUAAUAC